UCCUGGUGGCGAGUGGCGAACGGGUGAGUAAUACAUCGGAACGUGUCCAGUAGUGGGGGAUAGCCCGGCGAAAGCCGGAUUAAUACCGCAUACGACCUACGGGUGAAAGCGGGGGAUCGCAAGACCUCGCGCUAUCGGAGCGGCCGAUGUCAGAUUAGCUAGUUGGUGGGGUAAAGGCCCACCAAGGCGACGAUCUGUAGCUGGUCUGAGAGGACGACCAGCCACACUGGGACUGAGACACGGCCCAGACUCCUACGGGAGGCAGCAGUGGGGAAUUUUGGACAAUGGGCGCAAGCCUGAUCCAGCCAUGCCGCGUGCGGGAAGAAGGCCUUCGGGUUGUAAACUCCUUUUCUGGGGGACGAGCAAGGACGGUACCCCAGGAAUAAGUCUCGGCUAACUACGUGCCAGCAGCCGCGGUAAAACGUAGGAGGCAAGCGUUAUCCGGAUUCACUGGGCGUAAAGCGCGUGCAGGCGGUUCGGUAAGUUGGGCGUGAAAUCUCCUGGCUUAACUAGGAGAGGUCGUUCAAUACUACCGGACUUGAGAGUGAUAGAGGAAGAUGGAAUUCCCGGUGUAGUGGUGAAAUGCGUAGAUAUCGGGAGGAACACCUGUGGCGAAAGCGGCACCCUGGCCCACACCUGACGCUGAGGUGCGAAAGCGUGGGGAGUAAACAGGAUUAGA
rnacentral:rRNA from 1 species